rnacentral:lncRNA from 10 species
CUUUGGAGCAUAAAGUAUCACACUUGAAGUGUGACAAGAUCUGGCCUAUGUUUUAAAAGUAUCACUCUAGCUGCUAUAUUGAAAACAGAUGAGGAGACAGCCAGAGCAAUGGACGAAGAUAGAGGCACUGAAGCCAACUGGGAAACUACCACAAUAAUCCAGGAUGCCGGUGACAUGAACUAAGGGUGAGAGGAUGAAUCAAGGCUGGCCAGACACAUUCAGAGGAUGUGCCUAUGUUCUGGAAACUUUGAAAACUACUCCUUUCACAUACUAGAAGCAUGGAAGAUCCAGCUGCCCUCUAAGGCCUCAAGUCAAUCGUCCCUUAUCCACCAAAAUGACUAAAUACCAUCUGACACUUUCCUUCUCUCCUGCUUGAGUCUGAAGACACAUUUGGAGUCUCUUGCCACCAGCAGAAUGACAACCCUUGUAGGUCUGUCGGGAAACCUGCAAGAAACCUGAGAUGGGAAAAGGUCAAGAACUGAAAACCAAUUGAAAAACCAUAUUGUGAGCAAACUUCUGUCUAAGGAGAAGGGAGAAAAAGGGAGGGCCGUGACCAGGGACAGACAGGAGCAAAGGCACCCCCAGCUCCCUCAAUUCCAGAGUGCUUGGGCAUCCUGCAGCAAUCUAGGAGCUCUUUGAUUGCCUCUUUUAAAUCUGCGUCAAGUGAUGCUGAGAACAUAUAUUCUUUGCUGAUAAAUGUUUCCCCUUUGAGCCUGGGGCCUACUUAACAGGUAUUUACUGGGACACGUGCAUGGAAAGAUGUGGAAGAUACAUUUUAGAUUUAGAUUGAAGGAGAGAAAGAGUCAUCGCCUAUAUUCCUAUCACUCACAUUCCAUCUAUCCACGUUCAUACAUAAAUCAUGGAGGAUACGCAGCUCCAGAGCCACCUUGCAUCAAAAUGGAGUCAGAUUAAAGGGUUCACCAGGUAGCACUAUAUACCUCAUUUAUGUGCCCUUAAAAAACUUAGGGAGAUUCAUUCAAGUAUGGUAUGGCUUAAAAUGACCAAGUAAAAUCUGAACCACAUGCUUUCAUUUAAAUACAGAUGGUCAGGUUUUGUUUAUGUAUACAGAGCCAACUGCUUAUACAAAGCAGUGCCCUAUACAUAUAAACCAGCAAAGCCAUUUUAGAACCCAGAGUUUGAAAGAGUCUAUAUAAAUGUAAAUUACCAACCAAAGGGAGCAUAAAAUCUAUGGAUGUGAAAACGAGGCUACUAUCUUUCCUCAUCCAGCUCCCAUUGGCCAGCAUGGGCUCACACAGUGUUCUUUCAUUUGGGGAGUCUCUGGAGCAUGGAUUUAGCUGGGUUUCUGUGCCAGCGCUUCAGCUGGCAGUGAUUGGGUGACCUGUGUUUCCUCGGUGGUUGUUUGUCAUUGUCAGGGGGGCUUCCAGAUUUUACAGAGUCACUGAGGUCUUCACACAUCUGACUUGUCAUCCCAGCACUAUUUUGAUCCCUUGGAUUCUCCAGCAGGCAUCUUCCAGGAAAAUUCUGGGAGUGUCUUGGCCCAAUAUUUCAGUCUAAUGGCUAGGAGUAAGCUAGCUUUAUCCAAGGCCAGAGCUGAGCUCUAGUUGGGGAUAAAAUGCUACUGAAAGCUGUAUUAACUCUUGUACGCCACUAAUGUGUUUCAUUUGGGACCCUGCAGUAGCCAUUCACUAAAUGGGAUUCUGAGGCAUGAAAAAAGCUAAAGUGAGCUGCUCCCAACUUGUCAUUCUCAACAAGGGAGGAUGUGGCUCACAAUGGGGGAGGGGAUUGGUUGAAUAAGAGGGAAUGUCUGCAGACUGCUUGGAGAUCCACGCAGGAAGAACCCAGAGAAGAGCAAUCUAGCUAAAUGAAAUUGUUUUCUUUCUUUCCAACCACGGUAUAUUAAUUGGGCACAAAUCGGUCCACUUAAUGCCAAUUGACAUGAAGCAAUUUCCCAUUUGAUGGCAAUUGAAAACCCAUGCUUGCUGCCCCAAACCUGCUUGAUUGUUCCAAACAGAUUUCCCAUCCUAAAGUGGAAAUGGAUUUAAUUUGAUCUCUUCAGUCUGUUCGCCAUUAUGUGUGAAACAGUGGUAUUAGUAGCCAGGAAAUCAGCAGCUACCUGAGCAGUGGAGUGUUCAAAAUGGAGGCAUUCCAGCUGCUAGUGAAAAUUCAAAGGAAAGAGUCAUGCUAUAGUUGUGAUGGCUAGAGACCUGGGAUAGCAUAGCUGUUCUUUGUUGUUGUUGCAGCUGUCUCAUUGUUUUGAUUUGUCUUUUUCUUUUUUUUUUCUUUGCUGUUUCCUUAAGACUAGAGAAGCUUAAAGCUAAGGAGAGUCCUAGACAGCUACCUUGUCCAGUUGUCACUUCAAUGAGGAAACCCAGGCCUAACGAAGUUUUGUGACCUGCCUCAAUAAUAAUCUGCCCACUCUUUCUCACUCCUAUGUCUUUUUUAUUCUCAUGCAUUCCUUGCUCUCACUUCCAAGAAUUCUAGCUCAGAGCUCUAUCAGUGGAGAGGUAAUGGAAAGAAUAUAUGGUCUUAUAACUGAAAGUCUUGAGUUCAAGGGAUGUACCUGAGUCAUGUGACUUCUCAGGGCUUUGGUUCCCUUAUCAAUGAAAAGGAAAUACAGAUCCAUGCUUCCCAGUGUUUUUGCAACAAUCGAAUGAAAUAACUUAUGUAAAAGCAGUUUACAAAUUACACAGGAUCAUGAGAUGUAAAACAUUAUCCUACCAAAGCCCAAAGCCCCUCCUAGACAGGAGACAGGCCAAAUGGGUCAAAGGUUGGAAGCCAGGCAAGAAACAAGCUUUGAUCAAGUGACUGUAAGAAUCACGAGAGUACCAGUAGUACUCUCCACUCAUACCUCAAAUCAGAGAAAGAUUAGGGAUUAAAAAGCUGAAAAUAUUUGCAGAUGUUUGGCAUGGCUGUGGUUAGCCUUUUGACUUUUGGAACAAAUAACAUCUAGUGAUAUUUGUUUCACUUGUUUUUCUUUUAACUAAGUUGUCAGCCUAUUAUUUGAAAACUUUUUCCAUUCUAAAGCUCUAUUUUGUACAGAGAUAUCUAAUCACUUAUCUGAACAAAGAUGCAAACAUGGCCAUAUGGCCUUUGCCCUGUCAGAGAAAUCAGUGAAAUCAGAAAAAUCAGAGAGGCUUAUCCUAUAUUCUACUGGUAAUAUACCCAAGUGUUUUAUAAAAGUGUUUAUAGAAAUAUGUGCCCUUGGUGUUUUCACAAGUACAAGCAUAAAUGAAACAAGAUAUAGGCAGAUCAUCAUAGAUGAAGCUCUGGGCUAGGAGACACAAAGUGUUGCUUCCUGGUAGCUGUGUGACCUAGGGCAAGUCACUUCACCUCUCUGAGCUUCUGAGAGAUGAACAGGGGUACAAAAUGGGGAUAUGACAAUAUCAACCCCAGGAUUAAGCGAGAUGACAUCAUCCAGGUCUCAGCUCAAAUACCGCCUGUUCAGAGAGGCUAUAGUGCAUGCUGUGGUGGGUCACACAGAUCCCCCCUAUGAGGACUGAAGCAUCAUUUGCCUAGCUGCUGUGAGUGUUGGAAGCUGGAUCCCCUUCAUAGAUUGCCCUAAGCUGCCCAUCUCGCCCAAAAUCUUCCCACCAAAGGCAGCACACAUACAAUAGUGGCAAAUAAGAGGGUCUAAAGGCCAACUCCCCAGCCCCAACUCAAGAUACACUGUAGGACUACCCCAGCUUCAAGGCUUUCUGUGGUGUUGGAGGCUGAGGUUUUGCUGUGACUAUGUAAUAGCCCAACUUCUGUUUCUGCCCAAUCCUAUUUCCUGUACAUAUGCUCCUAGACUUAUAACAGGGUUACAUCCUGAUAAACUCAUCACAAGUUGAAAAUAUCAAGUUAAAAAUGCAUUUAAUACUCCUAACCUACCAAACAUCAUAGCUUAGCCCAGCCUACCUUAAACAUGCUCAGAACGCUUACAUUAGCCUAUGGUCGGGCAAAAACAUGUAACACAAAGCCUAUUUUAUAACAAGGUGUUGAAUAUCUCAUGUAAUUUAUUGAAUACUACACUGAAAGUGAGAAACAGAAUGGUUGCAUGUGCACUCGUAGUGCAGUUUCUACUGAAUAUAUAUCACUUUCACACCAUCUUAAAGUCAAAAAAUUGUUAAGUUUAGCCAUCUUUUUUUUUUAAUGGGUAAUUUUCUUUUUUUUAUUAUUAUUAUACUUUAAGUUUUAGGGUACAUGUGCACAAUGUGCAGGUUAGUUACAUAUGUAUACAUGUGCCAUGCUGGUGUGCUGCACCCAUUAACUCAUCAUUUAGCAUUAGGUAUAUCUCCUAAAGCUAUCCCUCCCCCCUCCCCCCACGCCACAACAGUCCCCAGAGUGUGAUGUUCCCCUUCCUGUGUCCAUGUGUUCUCAUUGUUCGAUUCCCACCUAUGAGUGAGAAUAUGCGGUGUUUGGUUUUUUGUUCUUGUGAUAGUUUACUGAGAAUGAUGAUUUCCAAUUUCAUCCAUGUCCCUACAAAGGACAUGAACUCAUCAUUUUUUAUGGCUACAUAGUAUUCCAUGGUGUAUAUGUGCCACAUUUUCUUAAUCCAGUCUAUCUUUGUUGGACAUUUGGGUUGGUUCCAAGUCUUUGCUGUUGUGAAUAGUGCCACAAUAAACAUACGUGUGCAUGUGUCUUUAUAGCAGCAUGAUUUAUAGUCCUUUGGGUAUAUACCCAGUAAUGGGAUGGCUGGGUCAAAUGGUAUUUCUAGUUCUAGAUCCCUGAGGAAUCGCCACACUGACUUCCACAAGGGUUAAACUAGUUUACAGUCCCACCAACAGUGUAAAAGUGUUCCUAUUUCUCCACAUCCUCUCCAG